UGCGUAGGCGGUUCUUUGUGUCCGCUGUGAAAUCCCCGGGCUUAACCUGGGAAUGGCAGUGGAAACUAGAGGACUUGAAUCCGGCAGAGGGGGGUGGAAUGCCACGUGUAGCAGUGAAAUGCGUAGAUAUGUGGCGGAACACCGAUGGCGAAGGCAGCCCCCUGGGCUGAGAUUGACGCUCAGGCACGAAAGCGUGGGGAGCAAACA
rnacentral:rRNA from 1 species